AGGAAUGCAACAGAGAAAA
rnacentral:snRNA from 1 species